CAGGCGCUCCUCAGCUGGCCAAUGAUCGGGGAGCAAACCCAGUCUCUUCCCGCAGCGAGCAUGAGAUGUUUACAGCAAUUAAAAGAAGCUGAGCUGACAAAAGAAGGUAUAAAUCCUCUUAACAUUAGCUAGAGCUGGUCAAUUCACAUUCUGAAAGAGGAAAAGUUUCCAGGAGAGGGGAGCAAAGGGGUGACUAUCUGAUGGACUGUCAUCAAAAUUCACUGCCUAUAAAAAGGGUUUUGAGUAUUGUUUAAACAGCCUUGAAAAAGUUCCUGAGUGGAUAGCAGGAAUGCAAACUUUCCCCGCUUCCUCAAGAAGAGAUGGUACUAGAUGCCACCUGCUAUCAAGAGGAAAGAAGAAACUAAUUUCUGCUAUCAAUCUGCUAUGUGAUAAAUAGAAAAACCCAACACAGCAGUUUCUCAGCUGCCUUCUGCUAGUUGGGCUACAGUCAUAACCCGUAACCCGUCUUCAGCCUGCCCUAGUAAAGAGUCAGAGUGGUUUGGCCUCAGGGCCAGUGCCUCUCUUAUUUCCAGCACUGUGCCUUCUCUCUUCUCAGGGAGGGAAAAUAAACUUUGUGCUAAA